UACAGAGGUCUCAAGCGUUGUUCGGAUUCAUUGGGCGUAAAGGGUGCGUAGGCGGCGGCGUAAGUCGGAUGUGAAAUCCCAGGGCUCAACCCUGGAACUGCAUUCGAUACUGCGGUGCUCGAGUACUGGAGAGGAGAUUGGAAUUUACGGUGUAGCAGUGAAAUGCGUAGAUAUCGUAAGGAAGACCAGUGGCGAAGGCGAAUCUCUGGACAGUUACUGACACUGAGGCACGAAGGCCAGGGGAGCAAACGGG
rnacentral:rRNA from 1 species